rnacentral:rRNA from 1 species
CUACGGGCGGCUGCAGUGGGGAAUAUUGGACAAUGGACCAAAAGUCUGAUCCAGCAAUUCUGUGUGCACGAUGACGGUUUUCGGAUUGUAAAGUGCUUUCAACAGGGAAGAAGUUCUGACGGUACCUGUAGAAGAAGCGACGGCUAAAUACGUGCCAGCAGCCGCGGUAAUACGUAUGUCGCAAGCGUUAUCCGGAUUUAUUGGGCAUAAAGGGCAUCUAGGCGGCUUAGUAAGUCUGAUGUGAAAAUGCGGGGCUCAACUCCGUAUUGCGUUGGAAACUACUAGGUUAGAGUAUUGGAGAGGUAGGCGGGACUACAUGUGUAGAGGUGAAAUUCGUAGAUAUAUGUAGGAAUGCCGAUGACGAAGGUAGCUUACUGGACAAUUACUGACGCUGAAGUGCGAAAGCUAGGGGAGCAAACAGGAUUAGAUACCCCUGUAGUC